rnacentral:rRNA from 1 species
AUUGAACGCUGGCGGCAGGCCUAACACAUGCAAGUCGAGCGGGGUUUUCGGACCUAGCGGCGGACGGGUGAGUAAUGCGUAGGAAGCUACCCGAUAGAGGGGGAUACCAGUUGGAAACGACUGUUAAUACCGCAUAAUGUCUACGGACCAAAGUGUGGGACCUUCGGGCCACAUGCUAUCGGAUGUGCCUACGUGGGAUUAGCUAGUUGGUGGGGUAGUGGCUCACCAAGGCGACGAUCCCAAGCUGGUUUGAGAGGAUGAUCAGCCGCACUGGAAGUGAGACACUGUCCAGACUCCUACGGGAGGCAGCAGUGGGGAAUAUUGGACAAUGGGCGCAAGCAUGAUCCAGCCAUGCCGCGUGUGUGAAGAAGGCCUUCGGGUUGUAAAGCACUUUCAGUAGGGAGGAAGGGUGUUGUGUUAAUAGCACAGCAUUUUGACGUUACCUACAGAAGAAGCACCGGCUAACUCUGUGCCAGCAGCCGCAGUAACAC